UACGUAGGGUCCGAGCGUUGUCCGGAGUUACUGGGCGUAAAGCGCGCGCAGGCGGCGGUGCUGGCCCGGCGUGAAAGCCCCCGGCUCAACCGGGGAGAGUCGUCGGGGACCGCACCGCUUGAGGGCGGUAGGGGCUGGUGGAAUGCCUGGUGUAGUGGUGAAAUGCGUAGAGAUCAGGCAGAACACCUGGGGCGAAGGCGGGUUGCUGGGCCGACACUGACGCUGAGGCGCGAAAGCUAGGGGAGCGAACGGG
rnacentral:rRNA from 1 species